UUUGAGAUAUAUAUUUUUCCUAUUUACCAAGCAAACCACGGAGGAGUAUUAUAACAAACUGCAUGAGACAACAAAGUGAGCUUCAAAGCCACAUCUAUCUGAUAAAGACACUCUGUUUCUUCCUUAUUGAAUGCGGUGAACCACAAGACUCCUCGAAGUGGGCUGCAUCAACCUUUUAUUUUUUUCAUGAAAAUGAACAUAUCCAACAUGACAAACGAACUGCACUAGACCGGAUUUAAACAAAAACAAAAGAGUGUUAAAACAAUUCAGGAAGUGAACUACCUAAAAAGAUGACCCCCAUGGAGGAGCGAACCUCUCCAACAUACACAGUGAACCCCUCAUAAAAACGACCACGUGUGCAUAGUCCAAGGGAACUGCCCGUGCACACGCGAGUUCACCGGAAAACCGUCGACGCCAUGGGCCAAAUUGCACGUCCCGUUGGUCAAGCUGCACUCCUACGUGCGCAAAACUGCAUGGUGGGCAGGGCAACCUGAAGUCAGGUGGUUUCAUGGAGGAAUUACCAUAGCCAUAGGUAGGAAACGGUGAAAAAUUUAUAGGGGAGUGAGAUCACCUAGUCACCCAAGACUGAUGAGCACUAGCCCAGGAAUCCUUUUCAUCGGUUUCUGCAAAACAAACAGAAAUCAAAGACAAAGAAGCACAAAUCUAGCGGUCAGCUCGGAUUGGAACAAAAGGUAUAUCAUACAUAAAUUCUUCGGCUGGCGCACACAAGGAAGCCAAAUUCUGAAUCGACAAGGCAAGUUGACCAAGUAAACUACACUUUGUCUCGAAAUAAUAAACUGAACUUCACGAGCACCUUACUUUUUUAACAAGUUUCUCUAACAGCUUUUUUGGGAACUUCAAUCAUAUUUGUUUGUGAACUUCAGUCCACUUUCAGGCUGCAGGUGGGACAAUACAUGGGAGUCCCACCUCCAACCCACCUGAUCCCACUAUGUUUAGUGGGAGUAACUCGACACCCCAUCAAAACAUGCAUAAAUUAUAUGGGCUCAAGUGGGAUCCCAUUUAGCAAAUGGAAGAUUGAAACAUAAUACUCCAGUACGCACUAGUUUAGCAUCCAUCUGCCGAGUCCACAUUACAGUGUCACCCUUACUCCUCUGUUCUCUGUAAUUUUGCUUCUUUCGUUUUAGUUAGCACUGCACGAGCCCACUAUAGUGUGUGUGCGCGCUGUGCAACGGUGCAAGUCAGCAUCGACGACCGCAGUGCAAGCAUAUGUAGUCCGGUGACUAGCUCUCCCUUUCCAUUGGUGUUGAAAAUAGAAGUAGAGAAGAAAAUAUUGCAGCAUGUUUAGAGCUGCCAGAAACACACGACUCCUCUGUUCUUCAUGUGUGUGAGAGUUGAGACCUGACAUUGCCCAGCACUUCGGACCUGCAGUCGCCUCCACGGCCAGGCGACCGACCAUGGAGCACCACAUGACGUUCCUCUUGGCGGCCAUAACCAAUCAGCAGACCUGCCUGCAGCCCGACAUCCGCCAGAUCUUGCUUCCAUGGCCAAGAAGCUGCCCACUAAUCCUUGCGGCCUGGUGCCAGGAAGAAGAAACAGGGGUGCAGCAGCGGCGACGGCCAUCAAUCGGCGGCAGCGGCGGGAGCAUGCUGUGGCACCGUGCUCUACUGUGCAGUUGGCUAGCUUAAUAGGGCAAGAUGGGAUCCCAACGGGCUAAGUGGGAUAGCCCGAUUAACUUUUUCCCUAUCCAAUGGGAUUCCACUAAAGCAAAUUAAGUGGGAUGGACUAGUUAGUCCCACUUGAAUCCACUUCCAUCUGCAGUCUGAGUCCACUUGGUCUAGAUAGUGAGGUGCUUGCGCACGUCGCUUGUGUGAAGUGAGCAGGUCGUGUGGGAGGCGAAAUUGGUGAACACCACCGGCAGUCUAACUGCAUUGGAGCACCAAGCGGUGAGCUACAUCACCAUACGAACCGCACUGCACGCAUGCGAUGGGGGAAGCAAACGACACGCAGAUGAGCUCCGCACCACAGGGGUGCAUCGCGUGAACUGCACAGGGGGUCUACUGUUGACAUUGUCGCUGCCAUCGGGGCCAGGGAGGACCCGCUGCUGUAUACCAGGGGGGCUGCUGCGCCCGUUGGUGGCGAGGUAAGGUCCGAGGCUGGCAGGGAGGCACGUGUGGAGGGUUGGGAAGCGUCGGCGUGUGGCCGAGCUAGGUGCCGGCCCGAGCUCGAGUAAGAGGAGAUGAGGAGGCUAUCGGUGACACCCUGCUGCUCCUUGGAAGUUGGAUCAGGGAAUGAAGAGGGUCACGGCGGUGCCUGCAAAGCGCCGGUGGAGGAAGAUUGCAAUUUGCAAGAAUGGCAAUCGGAGACUGCGGGGCGGAGGAGCGGCUCACCUGUUUGACUCGUGUGGCGGCUCGGUCGUCAGAUCCAGGGGUCGACGUGGAGGAGGGCGGAUUGCAGCGAGGCGUAAGGCUGGAGUGGCGGCAACGGCGCUGGUCAGGGAGGUGCAGCGCUGGGGCGGCGGCGGCGGCGCGACCGAGCUGCACGGGGGCCGCGACCAAGCUGCACGUGGUGGGGUGGCACCCGAGUACCUACGGGUGGCGCAGAUGAGGGUCUCGCCGGAGACCGCCACGAGGAGAGGGCUCGUCGUCGACUUGAUCCAGAUCGAGGACGAAUGGCGGAUCCGGGCGUGGGGAAUGGGUGAUGCCGGGCAGGGGCGGCGGGAGACCAGCCCGAGGGGCACUAGGAGGUGCGGCCAGCUGCGGCGCCGGCGGGGGAAGAAGCCGGAUGAGGUCCGCCCUGACUCGUUGGAUGUCACCGUCGGCGCACGAUCUAGGGAGGAGAGGUCCAUGAGGGGCUCACCGGAUCUGGGGAGGAGAGGGCCACGGUGACCUCGACGCCCCACGGCCGCAGCCAUCUGGGAGGCCGGAUCCGGUGGGUUCUCGUCGUGAACCCACGGCCGGAUGCGGUGCUCGGCUACCCUUGUUGCACGAAGGAAGUGCUGGUGGCCAGGGGGGGCAGAGCGGGGAGACGGUGGUUGGAGCCACGGUGGCCGGGGCGCGAGAGAUCUGGCGGCGUCGGUGCCAGGAAGAAGGUGGGGAGCGGGGUUUCUGGUGGCGCGGGGGCCCCGGCAGAGAAGAAGGUGGGGGAGCGGUGGUUCUGGUGGCACGAUGGCCCCGACGGGGAAGAAGGUGGAGGAGCGCGUGGGGUUGCGCGGCGAUGGAGGCUCAGGGGUGGUGGAUCUAGUUCCGGUCGGGGGGACGGAAGAGUGUUAUCAGAAUAAGGCGAUUUGACGUGCAGAAUAAGCUCUUAAGGUGUUAUCAUAUAUAUACUAGCAAAAGGGCCCGUGCGUUGCAACGGGAAAAAAAUUCAUAAUCUUCAAUGGCCAUGAUCACAUUUUGCUGCAUCACUGAGAUACACUAUCACUCUCAAUUUCGUAAAAUCAUGAAUACAUUUUUAAACUCAUGAGCAUAUUUGAAAUCGUGAUCUUUUUCAAAUUCGUGAACACUUUUACAAAUUAUCAAAUAUUUCUAAAAUCAACAAAGUUUAUUGAACUCAUGAACAUUUUAUACUGUUUGCAUACAUUUUAUAAAAAAUUGUGAACAUUUUUUUAACGAUUAUCUUGAAUCAGUGAACAUUUCUUGAAUGGAUGAACAUUGUUUUUGAUAUUUUUUCCAUUCAUUUUUGAAUUGGCAAAAUUUUGUUCAAUUUCAUUAACAUUUUUAAUACACAAACUUUUUAAAAAAUCAUGAACAUUCUCUGAUUUCCCAAAAAAUUGUUUUCAAAAUUUCGAACAUUUUUUGAAUAAGCAAACAUUUUUCAUCAUGAUACUUAAGAUAACACCAAUACCUCGUGCAAACAAUAUUUAAGAGAGUACCAAUAUUUAAGGUCGAGCAGAAAUGCAUGGAUAGCAUGAGGUGAUACUAAGACAAAUCAAAUUAUAUUCAACCAUAGAUAGGAUAGGCACAUCCAUCAGUAUUGUUUUAGUUUGAUAUAUUGCUGUCCAAGAGAAUUUUAGUUUAGAGACUGUUCGGAUCUCCUCAAAUCUGUGCUUCGCCGAUUAUGCGAAGCGGAGGCUUCUUGCGGUGCAAUUUGGUGAAGCUGCCAAAGCUUAGCUUCCCAAAUCCGAAAUCAUUGGAAUGCCACCACCAAGUCAUGUGACGCUUCGUUGUGAAUUCCCCUUCUCACGAACCCUAUUGAAGCGCCUUCCCAUGACGUCGCCAGUGUCCCCUUCUAACGAGCCCGACACCGCCCACUCGCCAGCCCUCCCCUUCCUCUAUUCGUCGUGCCAUCCAUCAUUGUCUCCCUCUCCUCCCGCUGACCUCCCCAGCAACGCCCUCUUCCACACCGAUUGCCUUAUUUCUAGGGUCACCCUCUACCCCGACGUAGACCACCUCCCCGUCGUCUGCCUCCGUUUUGUUUGUGGCAACCCCUCAGCCCAUGGAAGCUGAUCAACGCGUCGUAAAUGGUGUAGCUACUCCAAGGAAGCUGGAGCUUGAACGCUUCUGAAUAGGCUUACAUCCAUGUUUGUUGCCUUGGAGUUGCCGAGGCCAGAAAUUUUUUGGCUGUGUUAACUUCAGCCAAAAAAAGUAUAUCUACUCUAGUAAUAGCUCAUCUAAAUGAAUUAUGUUUUUCACUUGUAUACUUUGCAUGUAAUCUUUCGCCAAGAUCCAACACAGAUAUAACAUCACUAACAUUCAAUUGCAAAAAAGAAACAGAAAUUACUGACAUUCAAUCCACAAUUCUAACAAUUCUCUAAUUGACCUUUUUAUUCUAUUUUCCCGAUCUAAGGUCAGGACAACAUUUUUAGAUAACACAAUGUAUCAGUAUUAUCACCACUGCUAAAAUAAAGAAAUUUAGGACAUGGUACAAAAUUCAGAAUCACUACAUCUACAGUUCAUAUGAUAAACAACAGUGGCCUGUAGCUCGUACAUGUACAGUAUCCAUGUUAGAAAGACCCCAAGUAUUUCAAAUAGACACACACACACACACACAUAUAUAUAUAUAUAGAGAGAGAGAGAGAGAGAGAAUAUUACAUUACUCGACUCUCCAAGCAUGCACACACUUGUGUUUUGCAAGACUGUGCUCUGCCCCUACAAGCAGACCGUGCUCUGCCCCUACAAGCAUGCAUGUUAAAGUAAAUAUCCUGUAUAUUUGGCAUGUAAUCAGCCCUUGCCGUAUUAUCGGAUUGUAUUCUGUCUAUGAUUGAUACGGCUGGGUCAAGUCCUUGUUUCCCAAGGCAUCUGUACAUGAUGGAUAUAUAUACUAAUAUGAGCUGAUCGCCCAAGCGUGGCGUUUCCCUCAAUUCUCCCUGUCUCUCUUGUUUACAUGGUAUCAGACUACAUCUGCAUCGCAUCUGCAUAGUUCGAUCCUUCGGCCUGCAACUAGACGCCAUGACUUCCUCCGGCCAAACCUCCGGUGCUCUUGGCGCCAUGACCUCUCCAUCUCAGCUCUCUGCCACAAACAGCGCCCUCACCACCGUCACGGCUCCUGCAUCCCCGGCCUCCAACGCAGUGCAUGUGGCCAGCGUCAAGACCCAUGUCCCCGUCGUCCUCGACCUCAAGGCGUCGAACUUUACCAAGUGGCGCAUGCUGAUCACCGUUCUCUUGGGCAAGUACGACCUCAUCGGCCAUAUAGCUGCCGCUACUCCGGCUGCUGAUCGCACGCCAGAGUGGAGCCGCGAGGACUUCGUCGUCCGCUCGUGGUUGUACGGCUCCAUUAGCGACGACAUCCUGGAUAUUAUCAUGGCGGAAGACCAGACGGCGCACGAGGCGUACACGCUCAUCCAGAACUUGUUCCUCGACAACCAGAUGACGCGCGCUGUUUAUCUCGAGGCGGAGUUCCGUGCCAUCGUUCAAGGCGAUCUCACCAUCACCGCCUAUUGUCACCGGCUCAAAUCCCUCUCUGAUGCACUCCGCGACGUCGGCCAGCCGGUGUCGGAUCAGACCUUGGUCUUGACGUGCCUACGUGGCCUCAAUUCUCGCUUCGCCGACAUCACCACUCUGGUCACCAUGCAGGUUCCGUUCCCUACGUUCCUGCAGACAAGGUCUCUCCUUCUUCUUCGUGAGACGCAGCUCUCGCACACCAUGCCUACGCCACCGCCGCAGACCGCCAUGUACGGCCACGGCGCCGGUGCCUCCUCUGGCGGUGCCUACAAUGGAGACCGCUCCUCAGGUGACCGCAACUCCGGCGGCAACGGCGGCCGCUUCCAGAAAAAGAAGAAGAACGGGGGCGUCGGUCACUACCGUGGCAACGGUGGCGAGCGUAACCACAACGGCGGUGGCUCUUCCGGUACCCACGCUGCAGCUGGUCCGUGGAUCUGCUUCAACCCCUACACGGGCCAGGCCCAGCCGCUGCCGGUCUCCUGGCGCCCCGCUGGUGGAGCAGGCCUUCUUGGACCGCGGCCUGCUGCACCCCAGCGCCCGUACGUACCUGCCCAACAGCAGUUUGCGUACGCGCCGCCCCAGCAGCAAGCGUAUACUACGCUGCUCGCUCCACUCCAUGGGCAGGCGUACGGCACUGACCCACCGCCACCGGGUACACCCUCCAGCCACGGCGCUCCAGCUUGGGACUGCUCGGCGCUCAUGGCUGCCCUAAAUAAUGCUGCUGCAUCAUCUUCAUCCGCUGGUGAAUGGAUCAUGGACUCGGGAGCCACCUCCCAUAUGGUUUCCAACCCUGGUAUAAUCUCUCUUCCUUCCAAACCGCCUCCGUUUUCUCAUAUCACCGUCGGCAAUGGGGUCACUUUACCCGUUGUCUCCACCGGCCACAUGACUUUGCCUACUUCGGCACGUACCUUUGCUCUCAAUAAUGUCCUUGUCGUUCCUGAUAUUAUUAAAAAUCUUCUUUCUACUCGCAAAUUUAGUACCGAUAAUUCUUGUUCUGUGGAGUUUGACCCUCUUGGUUUUUCCAUCAAGGAUCUUCGAACCAGGCGCGAGAUCACACGCUGCAAUAGUCCCGGUCCUCUCUACACCGUCUCCGCCGCCGCCAACCCGUCAUCUACUUUUGGACUCCUCGCAUCAUCCGACUCCACCGAGCUAUGGCAUCGUCGAUUAGGUCAUCCAGGUCGUGACGCUAUGUCACAUUUAUCAAAACAGUUUGCUAUUCCUUGUAAUAAUGCAGCCGUUUCAGUCUGCCAUGCGUGUCAACUUGGCAAGCAUGUUCAUUUGCCGUUUUCUAGGUCUAAAACUUUUAGUGUGGUGCCUUUUCAGUUAAUUCACUGUGAUUUGUGGACAUCUCCUAUUCCGAGUAAUUCUGGUUUAAAAUACUAUCUUGUUAUUGUCGAUGAUUACUCCCACUACAUGUGGACAUUUCCUCUCCGCCAUAAGUCAGAUGCAACCACUGUGAUUACUAACUUUGUGGCAUUUGCACGCACACAGUUUGACCUUCCCGUUGUUGCCAUGCAAGCCGACAAUGGCACUGAGUUUGUCAACUCCACAUUGUCCACCUUCUUUACUGGUCACGGCAUCCAUCUUCGCCUUUCAUGUCCCUACACAUCUCCACAAAAUGGAAAAGCCGAGCGUGCUCUUCGCACCCUCAAUGAUAUUACUCGUACACUUCUCUUCCAAGCCCACAUGCCCUCCUCUUAUUGGGCUGAAGCUCUUGCUGCUGCUACCUAUCUUCUAAACCGACGACCUUCUCAGCCUAUUGGGUUUUCCAUCCCAUACGAGCUUCUUUAUCGCAUGCCCGCUUCCUAUGCCGAGCUACGUGUUUUCGGAUGCCUUUGCUACCCAAACCAAUCUGCCACAGCAAAACACAAAUUAUGCCCUCGCUCCACUGCAUGUGUUUUUCUUGGAUACCCCUCCUCACAUCGUGGCUAUCGUUGUCUUGAUCUUUCAAGUCGGCGUAUAAUCACUUCUCGUCAUGUCAUUUUCGACGAACAUACAUUUCCGUUUGCUAGUAUUAACCCUGCUCCUUCCGCUACAUCUCUCGACUUUCUUCUGGAUUUAGUAGCCACCGAGCCACCUCCAUUCACUCCUUCCCUCACGCAUGCUCCUGUUGCACCACAUGCACGUACUACUGAUCCACGUACUACUGCAUGUCCUAGCUCAGGUGCUAGUUCCUGUCCUAGCUCGCCCAUGCAUCAGCCACACUCACCAGCACCUGAUUCUCCUCCUAUGCAUGCCUCGCCUACCUCGGCCAACUCUCCCGCACCUGUCGCUUCGCCGGCGCAAGCUGCUGCACCAGAAACCCAGCCAAAAACCCAACGUGGACGUACUGUCUCUCGCACCGAACCAGCCACCAACACACACCAUAUGCUGACACGCCUCAAGCACGGCAUUGUCCAACCGGUUGAUCGCCUUAAUCUUUCGGCUGUUCACACCUCCAUUUCUCCUAUUCCUAAAACAUACCGGGGUGCCCUCCAUGAUCCUAACUGGCGUAGUGCAAUGGCUGAUGAAUAUAAUGCACUAAUUCAUAAUCGCACAUGGACCCUGGUUCCUUGUCCGGUUGGUGCUAAUGUUGUUUCAGGUAAAUGGAUCUUCAAGCAUAAGUUCGCAUCUGAUGGUGGCCUUGCUCGCUACAAGGCUCGAUGGGUGGUUCGUGGCUUUUCUCAGCAGCCGGGCGUCGACUUUGACGAGACAUUUAGCCCCGUCGUCAAGCCUGCCACCAUCCGCGUCGUCCUCACCAUCGCGGCUUCUCGUGGCUGGCCGGUUCACCAACUCGAUGUCAAAAAUGCCUUUCUCCAUGGCACAAUUGACGAGGUGGUGUACUGUGAGCAGCCCCCUGGCUUUAUCGACUCGGCUCGUCCUCAUCACGUGUGUCGCCUUCACAAGUCGCUCUACGGUCUCAAGCAGGCUCCGAGGGCAUGGUACCAACGCUUCGCCCACUAUGCUCAUCGCCUCGGCUUCGUCGCAUCUCUUUGUGAUGCUUCUCUCUUCAUACUUCGACAAGGCGAUGAGCUUGCGUACCUACUGUUGUACGUUGAUGAUAUCAUCCUCACAGCUUCGAGUUCGGAUCUACUACAGCACAUCACCGACAUGCUUCACCGCGAGUUCUCUAUGACGGAUCUCGGGGAUCUAUCCUAUUUCCUCGGGAUUUCGGUCUCUCGCUCGUCAUCGGGGAUGCUUUUAUCCCAACGCCAGUACGCCAUCGACCUUCUUCACCGUGCCGGCAUGCUUGAUUGCAACCCGUGUGCCACCCCCAUCGACACUCGUUGCAAGCUCUCCGCCGAUGAGGGUCCUCUCGUUGACGAUCCCACGGAGUACCGCAGUUUUGCCGGUGCACUUCAGUACUUGACACUGACACGUCCUGACAUAGCUCACGCUGUACAACAGGCAUGUUUGUACAUGCAUGCACCACGGGAGCCGCAUCUAAACCUUGUAAAGAGGAUUCUUCGCUAUGUCAAGGGCACAUUGGAUCUUGGUCUUCGCCUCCACUCGACACCGGCUACGUCUCUCACGGCCUACUCCGACGCUGACUGGGCAGGUUGUCCCAACACUCGUCGCUCCACUUCUGGCUACUGUGUUUACCUUGGGGACAACCUUGUGUCAUGGUCUUCCAAGCGCCAGGCUAUAGUCUCCCGCUCUAGUGCCGAGGCGGAGUAUCGCGCAGUGGCCCAUGCUGUAGCUGAGUGUUGUUGGCUCCGUCAGCUUCUUCAUGAGCUUCAUCGACCCCUCCACUCCGCGACCAUCGUCUUUUGCGACAAUGUCAGUGCUGUCUACAUGGCCUCCAACCCUGUGCAACAUCGCCGCACGAAGCAUAUUGAGAUUGACAUCCAUUUUGUUCGUGAAAAGGUGUCUCUCGGGCAGAUUCGGGUUCUUCAUGUGCCAUCGUCUCAACAGUUCGCUGACAUCAUGACGAAGGGUCUACCGUCUCAGCUCUUUUUGGACUUUCGGUACAGCCUGUGCGUUCGUCCUCCCGACGCACUGCCUGAGGGGGGAUGUUAAAGUAAAUAUCCUGUAUAUUUGGCAUGUAAUCAGCCCUUGCCGUAUUAUCGGAUUGUAUUCUGUCUAUGAUUGAUACGGCUGGGUCAAGUCCUUGUUUCCCAAGGCAUCUGUACAUGAUGGAUAUAUAUACUAAUAUGAGCUGAUCGCCCAAGCGUGGCGUUUCCCUCAAUUCUCCCUGUCUCUCUUGUUUACAAUGCACACACUUGUGUUUUGCAAGAUACACAACCAGAUUAUGGACAGAUAAUAUACAACAUCUGGUUUGAUGAUGCCCUUGUUCUUGGUAACCUACAACAAAAACAACUAAUCAUUUUCAUCUUCUGUUAGAGAUAGGGGUUUGUUGUACUGCGGGUACUACUAUAGGACAAGGGUUUAGAUUCUCUAUUGUUCUUUCUUGUCUAAAAAUGAAUAAGAAAAAUUAUAUCUUCAUCAAUGAUGUUGGCAAAAUUCUAUGAAGUCCUUCUAGCUGGUAAAUCAUUCAAACUAAUGGCGAUGUUUCCCUACCACCAUACAGGAAAACUUUGUAGCCUGACUGGAUCUCCUAUGAUUGCAGCAAGGAAUUUGCGUCAUUGCCACACUCUAAAACUGGAAUUUGUCUUUCAGGGAGACUGUGUCGAGUGACAAUGGACCUUAGCUUCUGUCAUAUAAGAAGAUCCUAUAUGACAAACUCUACUUCACGAAUUGGAGUAAGACAACUAUUGUCAUUAUUCUUCUGAACAACUAAUAAAAUGAAAUCAUCGACAUCCAACUCACAUUUAGCAUGCAUACGUCACGAAGCACGUCCUUCUUCCAGAAUAAAUAAUAGUAUAAUUCUCAGAAAACAUAUUCUGUUUUGACUGACUUAUGGAAAACAGAAGUUUUAGAAUGUUUUCUUCCCUGACAGAAACUUGCUUUGCUUCCCUCACACUAUUAGUUCCAAUACAACAUAUCAGAUACAGGUUUUUUUUAUUGAUUUUCUUUUUAUGAAAGAAACAUGCAUGUGUAGAACGUAAUGAUAUCAUGUUUAGAGUUAACUACCGAACAUUAAAUGUUUGGCACGUAGCAUUUUUGCAGCUUGAUAGACAAUCAUAGAGUUAUUGCAAAAGCAGGAGCAUGUACCAGAUAAUUUGCAGAAUCACAACAUCUGGAGGUGUCUUCAAAGUUACAGGACUGUUCUAUGUCACAUAAAAAAGUUAAAUCGCUAUUAGAUUAAGGGACUGCAUUCCUUCUCCAAAUUACUACUCGUAAAAUUUUGCAAACAGGCCCAAAUGCAGAUUUGUAUGAACAACCUAAACUAUGCGAUUGCAGUUUCAGACUUUUAAUACCACUUGACACCAAUAUUAUCAGAAGUAUAGAUGGAAGUGCAUACUACGCGUUUAUCACAUCGACUUGUGAUAACCGAAAGGAUAACUAAGCACAAUGUGCACAUGAACCACAAUGCUAAUUCAAGUCCAAUAAACCAUGUGAAUUUUCAGGAAAAGAAUGUUAUGUGAUCCAAAUGAAAUUGUUAUUUAGAUAUACAUAGUGUCGAUCGAAACUACUGUGGCCUUAAGAGAAGCAGUAGACAUCGAGCUAGAAACAUACUACAGGUAGAUAACAUAAGUGCCAGGAUCCAAUAUUCAGUAAGAACAAUUAAAGCACCAAGUAGCCAAAUCAAAAUAUGUCCAUUUGCGCCUUUGUACAGAGAUUGAACAUGCUGAAACGCAGUGGAAGUAAAUCACAUGGGUAGCUGGUUAUAUUGUCUUAAAGUGAUCUUCUCAUACUGGAACCAUACAGAAAGUAAAUAGCAGAUUAUAUCGUCCUAAGUGAUCUUGCUAGAGAGGAUUAUCUAGAGAAAUGAUAAAGGAGAAAUAUAACCAACCUUGACCUGUUUGCAGCAUUUGGCCCCCAAGGCAACCUGGGUCAUUUACAAAUCCAGAUUUUAUACACCUCAUAGUCACCGGCAUCUUGCCACAAUAGGCCAAUACCUAGCCACUCAUAGUACCAUCAUCGUCCAUUGUUCUGGCCUGUUGCAUUCCUGGAUUGCAGUACACCUGAAAUUGUAGGAGUUCAUAACCUGGACACCACAGAGAAAGCUUCAUUGGUUGAGAAAAUUCGUUGCUUUUCACCACCUGCUGUAAGGGAAAGUACCAAUCACCCCAUUGAUCCUCCCUCUAAUAUCAACAAGCUGACAAAGUGGCAAUGGAGACCAAGGCUUAGCAUAUUAUUUCAAUCGAUUUGUCUACAACUUGUGUAUGUCCUGCAGAUUGAAAUUGAAGCGGUGAAGACCCUCUGGAAGGCAAGCCAAAGGAAGAGCACAAGUUUGUUAGGGAGGAGCGGCUGGGACUGCCCAGGCACAACAGAUCGGGAGUAGCAGCUACGAUCGUCGGGGCGGGAGCGCCGCUACCAUGGCAUAGAGAUG
rnacentral:lncRNA from 1 species